UAUCGGAUUGAUACUAAGCCAUGCGAGUCAUUGUAGCAAUACAAGGCAUACGGCUCAGUAACGCGUAGUCAACCUAACCUAUGGACGGGAAUAACCUCGGGAAACUGAGAAUAAUGCCCGAUAGAACAUUAUGCCUGGAAUGGUUUAUGUUCCAAAUGAUUUAUCGCCGUAGGAUGGGACUGCGGCCUAUCAGUUUGUUGGUGAGGUAAUGGCCUACCAAGACUAUUACAGGUACGGGCUCUGAGAGGAGUAGCCCGGAGAUGGGUACUGAGACACGGACCCAGGCCCUAUGGGGCGCAGCAGGCGAGAAAACUUUGCAAUGUGCGAAAGCACGACAAGGUUAAUCCGAGUGGUUUCUGCUAAAGGAACCUUUUGUCAGUCCUAGAAACACUGACGAAUAAGGGGUGGGCAAGUUCUGGUGUCAGCCGCCGCGGUAAAACCAGCACCUCAAGUGGUCAGGAUGAUUAUUGGGCCUAAAGCAUCCGUAGCCGGCUCUGUAAGUUUUCGGUUAAAUCUGUACGCUCAACGUACAGGCUGCCGGGAAUACUGCAAAGCUAGGGAGUGGGAGAGGUAGACGGUACUCGGUAGGAAGGGGUAAAAUCCUUUGAUCUAUUGAUGACCACCUGUGACGAAGGCGGUCUACCAGAACACGUCCGACGGUGAGGGAUGAAAGCUGGGGGAGCAAACCGGAUUAGAUACCCGGGUAGUCCCAGCUGUAAACCAUGCAAACUCAGUGAUGCAUUGGCUUGUGGCCAAUGCAGUGCUGCAGGGAAGCCGUUAAGUUUGCCGCCUGGGAAGUACGUACGCAAGUAUGAAACUUAAAGGAAUUGGCGGGGGAGCACCACAAGGGGUGAAGCCUGCGGUUCAAUUGGAGUC
rnacentral:rRNA from 1 species